UACAGAGGUCUCAAGCGUUGUUCGGAAUCACUGGGCGUAAAGGGUGCGUAGGUGGCGUGGUAAGUCAGAUGUGAAAGCCCGGGGCUCAACCUCGGAAUUGCAUCCGAUACUGCCGUGCUAGAGUACUGAAGAGGUGACUAGAAUUCUCGGUGUAGCAGUGAAAUGCGUAGAUAUCGAGAGGAAUACCAACGGCGAAGGCAGGUCACUGGGCAGUUACUGACACUGAGGCACGAAGGCCAGGGGAGCAAACGGGG
rnacentral:rRNA from 1 species